ensembl:lncRNA
GACUCAUAUUCUACGACAAUGAGAAAAUCACAGAGGCAAAGUCAAUAUUACAGAGUAGAUUUCUAUUUUCCAUAGAGAAGGAUAGUUUGAAUAGUUUUGUUCUCAUAGAAGAAUGAAAUUUUACAAGGAAAAAAUGAUUUUUUUUCACCAAGAGCCUAUGUUUAGCUGCCAUGCUCACCAUGAAAGAUUUUCAUAGCCAGGAUCAGAUUUGCAGGGACAGUGCCUUCAGGAGCCGUGGCUUUCACAUCCUCCUCUGUGUUGAGAAGAAGACUUUAUUGAAGAGGGAACACAAAUGGAGAUUCACUUGGGACCAGCUGAGAUCUUCAGUUCUAAAAGGAUUUGAGGCUGGAAUGAUUUAAGCACAGACCCACAGUCCCCUACCUUAGGAAGAAAAAAACCCACAGUCCACAAAAGUGGCAAAAGGAGAGCCAAGAAGAAAUUUCUUGAUCCAUUUUCUAAGGAAAAUUGGUAAAAAUGCUUUGUAACCAAACAAAGUUUGUUUUGCCUGACCAUCAGGGGCCAAAAUGCUGAGACACCAAGCCCUGCAGCAAAGAGAGGGCUUAUUG